rnacentral:rRNA from 1 species
GAUGAACGCUGGCGGCGUGCCUAAUACAUGCAAGUCGAGCGAACAGACGAGGAGCUUUCUCCUCUGACUUUAGCGGCGGACGGGUGAGUAACACGUGGAUAACCUACCUAUAAGACUGGGAUAACUUCGUGAAACCUGAGCUAAUACCGGAUAAUAUAUUGAACCGCAUGGUUCAAUAGUGAAAUACGGUUUUGCUGUCACUUAUAGAUGGAUCCGCGCCGCAUUAUCUAGUUGGUAAGGUAACGGCUUACCAAGGCAACGAUGCGUAGCCGACCUGAGAGGGUGAUAGGACACACUGGAACUGAGACACGGUCAAGACUCCUACGGGAGGCAGCAGUAGGGAAUAUUGAGAAAUGGGCGAAAGCCUGACGGAGCAACGCCGAGUGAGUGAUGAAGGUAUUCGGAGCGUAAAAAUAUGUUAUUAGGGAAGAAAAAAUGUGUAAGUAACUAUGAACGUAUUGACGGUACCUAAUCAGAAAGCAACGGCUAACUACGUG